GGGAAGAACGGAGCAGAUGAAGACGGCGCUGCGCUGCUGUCCGCUCUCACAGAGAUGUUAGACAAUGUGGCUGAAGAAGACGACAAGACUCUGUCCCCGUUCGACACCCUGCCAGACACCAAACUCAUCAGCAUCACUGAUUGUAGAGAUGAGUCGUUGGUGAAGGAACUGUCCCAUGCUCACAGACUUCGACCAAGACAUAAACCACCAAAUGCAACCCUGACACCCGGUAGAGACUCAGAAAAAGAGCAGCGCUGUAGAUCAGAUAAAAAAGCUCAGAAGCUUGGAGGCAAACAUAGGAAGUGUGAGGCCAAAGUUGAAGUGUUUUCCUCCUCGUCUCUGGUCGGUCUUGUGAGGCUCAUGCACUCUUACUGUGUGAAGCUGCACGUGGAGGACAGUGAUGAACAGAAAACGGGUCCAACGCUGUUCUCACAGGAAGAGGUGUGGAGGUACGAAAGACCCAGCGAGGAGUGCGAAGAGGAGAUCAACGUGGUGUCUGACGACGAGGCGCCGACGGAACGGACGUGUGACAGACAGCAGCUGAAGAGCGUGCUGCUGAAGGGGAACGUAUCCAAAGAGAAGAAAAGGGUUAGCUUUGGUCCUGUUCAGGUGACGUCGUACCAGGAAUCUGAGGAAAAUUAUCCAAAUGAGAAAAAUGACUUGAGUGAAACUGAUCUGGAGCCUCUGACAAUUUUCUCAGCAAAAUGUGUAAACAUGACAGAAGUUCAUCCAACAAAAGGUGGAACGAAGGUGAAAUCCCUCAGUCUACAGCAGUAUAGACAGCUGAGGCAGAGGACACGCCCCCUGGUGGUGGAGAAACAGGGAAACUACACCACAAAGUGGCCUUCAGUGCCAGUGCCCCCAAAAGAGCUCCCUCCCAUCUUGUGUUUACAAGGACAGGAAUCAAACACAAACUCACACAAAGUGAACUAUCACUCAUCAUAUCAUGGAUCAAAACGAUCCAAGUCACUCAAAUCAGUCAUUAGUCCAGUUAAAGACAUCAAUCCAAAGCUCUCUGUGCGGGACGGCAAGAGGGGGCCAGUCCUGCUGUGUAGUGACCCCCCCAAACCCCGUCCUCCUCCCACUUACCCAGUCACUACUACCAUCAUCAUCAUCCCAGUCUAGGCUACCAUCCGUCUUCCUGCAGGAGCCUCAGAGCGAGUGCUCGGCUGAACCUCUGCCUCCUCCACACACAUGUACCUCACAUGCAAACCGCUCACCCCACAAUUGUAACCAAAGCAUGGCCGCAGCACCUCAGGAAGUACAGACUAGUCUUACUGACACAGACACACACAGCGGGACCACCUCUGGGUCUCCAGUUCACACACAAUCUGCUGCAGAGCCUCACCAACGCAACAGUAACCCAAAGACUCCCUCGUCACCUCAUCCAGGAUCACCAAAGACCAGUUUGUUCUCAGCACUGCUCAGUCAGCCUCCUGCUCUUCCUCCUACAGCUUCACACACAUCCAUGUCAGAAGAGCCGCUUUCUCCUCCUGAUGAACCAUCGCCUCCUGGUAACAGCUGUAAACAAGACAGACCAGCAACUGAUUCAGGCAUUGAAGCGUGUGAUUUGACCAGCCUGUUGGAGCAGUUUGAGGAGACACAAGCUAAAGAGGCCAGAGUCUGUAUCCAGCCCAAGCCUGUUCUCUGUGGUUCAGCUUUCAACCAAGUUCAAGACGCAAGCUCAGAGACAAAGUCCACAUCACCAUCCUUUAUAAAACCACCCGAAUCUUUGGAAACACCAGAAACUUCGAGGACACAAAUUACACCUCAGCAGGAUCCAGAUCUGCAGUCUUUGGGAGAUGAAGUUGUUCCUGAGCCACUCUGCACUGAAACCAUCCAGAGCUCUCAGCAGGAUCCGCCUAGACGGACUCCGCCCCCACCCAAAGCCAUUCAGAUCAUUCAUCCACGUCCUCUACCUUCCAAAAGGACUCACAUGAGCUCGACAGAGUCUCCAGUUGCUCGACUCCCACCUCACGUGUUUUCAUAUGUGUCCUUUGAGCACGAUUACUGUGAGCCUGUGGGUCAUCCCCCAACCCCCCAGCAGAACAGUUCCAAAGACCCCCGUCAUCUCGCAGCCCCCCAGCAGAACAGGUCCAAAGACCCCCGUCAUCCAGAGCAAACCAACAGAGCAGGAUCUGAGGCAUCCACAGAGGAAGCUCUACAGACGCCUCCAUGCUCGCUCCCCACUCCUCCCCCCAGCCCCCCUGUCAGAGGGAGGAGGAAAAGGAGAUACCGGAGUAGAUCUUCACGCUCUGACUCCAGCUCAUGUUCCUCAUCGUCGUCCUCCUCCUCCUGCAGCUCUGCUUGCCGCUCUCCAAAACGACCCAGGUUGCACCGCCAGAGUUCGCAGAGCAGCUCUUGUUCGUCAUCGCCUUCAUCGAUAGAUUCGCCCCCGCGGCGCAACAGGCUGUCUUACUCCAAGUCCAGGAGCAGUCGGUCAAUAUCCAGGUCAUGGUCCCAGUCCAGGUCGCCAUCAAGAUCACCAUCACCUUCUCAGUACGCAUGUCGGAGGCGGUGGAGAGAUGUUUGCAGAGAGUCUCGGAGGAUCAGGAGGGAGCAUGAAAUCAGGAUGCAGAAACUCCGAGCCAUAGACGAGCGCAGAGUGGUGUACGUCGGCCGCAUCCGGACGACGAUGACGCACGAGGAGCUGCGAGACCGCUUUGCUCAGUUCGGAAACGUCGAGUGUGUCUCGCUUCACUUCAGAGACAGAGGUGGACCACUACGGCUUUGUCACCUUCUACAACAUGGAAGAUGCUUUUUGCUGCCAUCGAUAAUGGCAGUAAGCUACGGAAGCCCGACGAGUUGCCAUUCGACAUCUGCUUUGGGGAAGAAGACAGUUUUGUAACUCCAACUAUGCUGAUCUUGAUGCCAACAGAGACACAGAUCAGUCUCCUUCAAAGAGCACGUUGGACGACCUGGACUUUGAUUCGUUGCUGAAACAGGCUCAGAGAGGAUUGAAAAGGUAGCAGUGGGACGUCAGCAUCCACUCAAGAUGGGCUGAAGAUGGUUUUGGUUUUUUUCUCAAUUAGCAGACUUAUGUUUUUCUUUUAAACACGGUUUACAUGCAGUUUGAUUUGUGUAUUAAAUGUAUUAAGCCAUAUUAGCAUUUUUCAUUUGACAUGUCUGAAUAUUUAGCACUUCCAUUUUGUAUUCCAAGCACUGAUGAUUGAAAGUUGAAAAUAGCCACUUUUGCAUAAUAAACUUUUUUUUUUCUGUUAAGCCUUCUUUUAA
ensembl:lncRNA peroxisome proliferator-activated receptor gamma coactivator-related protein 1-like